AGCAAGAUUCAGAUGCUUAGAAAACAACC
rnacentral:piRNA from 1 species